rnacentral:miRNA from 1 species
UUUUUACCAUAAGUACAUCCCAUGCAAUAUUUAGGGCAUACUUUUACUAACA